GUAGGUGGCAAGCGUUGUCCGGAAUUAUUGGGCGUAAAGCGCGCGCAGGCGGUUCUUUAAGUCUGAUGUGAAAGCCCACGGCUCAACCGUGGAGGGUCAUUGGAAACUGGAGAACUUGAGUACAGAAGAGGAAAGCGGAAUUCCACGUGUAGCGGUGAAAUGCGUAGAGAUGUGGAGGAACACCAGUGGCGAAGGCGGCUUUCUGGUCUGUAACUGACGCUGAGGCGCGAAGGCGUGGGGAGCAAACAGGGAUUAGAUACCCUGGUAGUCCACGCCGUAAACGAUGAGUGCUAAGUGUUAGGGGGUUUCCGCCCCCUUAGUGCUGCAGCUAACGCAUUAAGCACUCCGCCUGGGGAGUACGACCGCAAGGUUG
rnacentral:rRNA from 1 species